AUUUUAAGACUCAAUCUCAUGAACUUCAUAGGAUCUCUCUCUGUCUAUUAGAAUCGACAGAUCCCAUCUUGAUGUACACCCUACUCCUAUAAUAGAUUUACUAUAGCCAACAUAUACUGUAAGAUUCUGAAUAGCUAAAUAAUCAAGUGAUUGUGUAGUCAAACUACAAUAACUUCACUGUGAACAGUCGAGGCACCGC
rnacentral:lncRNA from 1 species